CCUACGGGUGGCAGCAGUGGGGAAUAUUGGACAAUGGGCGAAAGCCUGAUCCAGCCAUGCCGCGUGUGUGAAGAAGGCCUUCGGGUUGUAAAGCACUUUCAGUGGGGAAGAAAGCCUUGGGGCUAAUACCCUCGAGGAAGGACAUCACCCACAGAAGAAGCACUGGCUAACUCCGUGCCAGCAGCCGCGGUAAUACGGAGGGUGCGAGCGUUAAUCGGAAUUACUGAGCGUAAAGCGCGCGUAGGCGGUCUGAUAAGCCGGUUGUGAAAGCCCCGGGCUCAACCUGGGAACGGCAUCCGGAACUGUCAGGCUAGAGUGCAGGAGAGGAAGGUAGAAUUCCCGGUGUAGCGGUGAAAUGCGUAGAGAUCGGGAGGAAUACCAGUGGCGAAGGCGGCCUUCUGGACUGACACUGACGCUGAGGUGCGAAAGCGUGGGUAGCAAACAGGAUUAGAUACCCGGGUAGUC
rnacentral:rRNA from 1 species